rnacentral:rRNA from 1 species
AUUGAACGCUGGCGGCAUGCUUUACACAUGCGAGUCGAACGGUAACAGGCCGCAAGGUGCUGACGAGUGGCGAACGGGUGAGUAAUGCUUCGGAACGCGCCCAGUCGUGGGUGAUAACUACUCGCAAGAUUAGGUAAUUCCGCAUACGACCUAUGGCUGAAAGCGGGGGACCGCAAGGCCUCGUGGGAUUUGAGCGGCUGAUGUUAGAUUAGGUAGUUGGGGGGGUAAAGGCUCACCAAGCCAACGAGCUGUAACUGGUCUGAGAGGACAACCAGCCAGACUGGGACUGAGACAAGGCCCAGACUCCAACGGGAGGCAGCAGGGGGGAAUAUUGGACAAUGGGCGCAAGCCUGAUAAAGAAAUGCCGCGUGCAGGAAGAAGGCCUUCGGGUUGUAAACUGCUUUUGUUAGGGACGAAACGGCUCAGGUUAAUACCCGGAGCUAAUGACGGUACCGAAAGAAUAAGCACCGGCUAACUGCGUG